AGAUAUUGGCAGUGCCACACACCCAUUUACCAGCAACCUCAUGACCCUCCAUGCUCUCCCAAUCCGUCUACUGAAUUCAUAGGAAGAGUCACCAGAGACAUGAAUGUUGCUGCCGAGUAUCGGAGUACCAAGUCCAAAGAUGCAGCUCAGGGCCCUGGAACCAGGAUCCAAUGACCUGCAGGCCCUGACCAAUCACACCACCAAAGCCCAAAGUUUCCCCUGCAUGUUGGAGGACUGCUUGCAGUUUAAUGUCAUACUCAGAACUGACUGUAUCCUGGCGUGUGCCCCCCCAGCCCUGGAAAUGUGACCACUUCGACUCCAGAACCUGACGUCCGAGGGGUUCAUUAAGACCAAGAUCCCGACAUCCUGCUGGUUUAUUACACCAGAGUUCUUGAUGUCCUCCUUGCUUGGUGUCGACUCUCCUCUGCUGUAUCAGGGCUGCCUUGUUUAGCCAGGCCACAUAGGGAGCCAGCUGAAUGCGGUGGCAGAGAACUGGGAACCACAGAACAUUCCUGAUCCAAACGGGCCCUAGCCACCACCGUUAACCCCUAGCGGCUGGGAUUAGGCGCUGCAGACACUCUGAAAGAGACGCUGCAUCUUCAGAGGCAAUUCGCCUUGGGAGCCAGUCUCCUGGUGUCAAAGCCCCAACCCAGCGACGAGCAGCCCCUUAAGAAUCAGACCGGGUUUGAAGGAGCAGACAGGCACAGACCCACCAAUACACUUCUGACACCUAGUGGUGAGCAGUGGAAGUUCUCCAAGAACAACAGCACUGGCCAGUGUCCCCCAGAGCACACCGGAGUCGCUGCUGGUACCUGACGUGUGCUGGGAGAAGAGGGCAGAGGCCCGGAAUCGCCGGAACCCGCACUGAAACACCAGCUGCUCCUUGGAUUUGAU